rnacentral:rRNA from 1 species
AACGAACGCUGGCGGCAGGCCUAACACAUGCAAGUCGAGCGCCCAGCAAUGGGAGCGGCGGACGGGUGAGUAACGCGUGGGAAUUUUCCUCAAGGUACGGAACAACUCAGGGAAACUUGGGCUAAUACCGUAUGAUGUCUAGCGACCAAAGAUUUAUCGCCUUGGGAUGAGCCCGCGUCAGAUUAGGUAGUUGGUGGGGUAACGGCCUACCAAGCCUGCGAUCUGUAGCUGGUCUGAGAGGACGAUCAGCCACAUUGGGACUGAGACACGGCCCAAACUCCUACGGGAGGCAGCAGUGGGGAAUCUUGCGCAAUGGGCGAAAGCCUGACGCAGCCAUGCCGCGUGAGUGAUGAAGGUCUUAGGAUUGUAAAGCUCUUUCGCCCGUGACGAUGAUGACAGUAACGGGAGAAGAAGCCCCGGCUAACUUCGUGCCAGCAGCCGCCGCGGUAA